UUUGAUCCUAAUCCGAUCAAGGGAAGAACUCUCCAAGCAUUGCACAAUAUUGUAAACAUAUAAUGAUGAUAGUAUAAGGCCUUAAGCAUUUUGAUCUUGGGAUUUAGUCCUGUGCAGGUUGCCAGAGCGCGGUACGUCUUGUUGUGAUACUGGGCAGCAGCCGCAGGAGCAGGGAUUUUCAAGUCUGAUGACUGUCCAAUGUCAGUUGCUCGCCCCCGCUGCUCUUACGACAUCCACUACGAGACAGAAUAUAUGGAACUUCUGAUGAAUGACGCCCAAAAGAUUGACAAGUCCUCUGAUGCAGGUACUUGGGUGCAAUUUUUUAGAUGAGCUUUUGUGUGAUUGCAAGAGUUCACUUUGUGGGCUUCAUAAAUUGCCACCCUCUUCUUGAUCCUCCUGCUAAUGCUUCCGUCAUGCUUCCCUUUUACCGAUUCACUCAUGGGUACGUGUCCAGAGACGAGGGAAGUUGAAAUCACCGGCUAUCACUGUGUGCUUAUUGAAGCAAGGGUAGAGAGAACUAGAAGCCAUCAUGAAGUGCUGCAUCGGUGCCUCAUACCUUGACGAAGACCACAUUGCACUGCUAAUUACAAUGAUAACAACUCUACUUCCUUCUGCGGAUUCAUCAGAGACUGAUAAGAUUGUAAUCUCACGCUUACCUUUCAGUGAUGAUGACGAAGUU
rnacentral:lncRNA from 1 species